ACACAUCCUUGGCAAUAUCUGGGGCACAUCUCUAGAAGCAGGAAUAGUCAGGAUGCUCUGCUUCUAGUGACUUGCCUUGGAGAUUGCUGGAGGU
rnacentral:pre_miRNA from 1 species